UACGUAGGGGGCGAGCGUUGUCCGGAAUCAUUGGGCGUAAAGCGCGUGUAGGCGGUUCGGUAAGUCUGAUGUGAAAGUCCAGGGCUCAACCCUGGGAUGCCGGUGGAUACUGCCGAACUAGAGUGCGGAAGAGGCGAGUGGAAUUCCCGGUGUAGCGGUGAAAUGCGCAGAUAUCGGGAGGAACACCAAUUGCGAAGGCAGCUCACUACCCAGAUAUUGACACUGAGGCACGAAAGCGUGGGGAUCAAACAGG
rnacentral:rRNA from 1 species